rnacentral:rRNA from 1 species
UACAGAGGGGGCAAGCGUUGUUCGGAAUUACUGGGCGUAAAGGGCGCGUAGGCGGCCUGCUAAGUCGAACGUGAAAUCCCUGGGCUCAACCCAGGAACUGCGUCCGAUACUGGUUGGCUUGAAUCCGGGAGAGGGAUGUGGAAUUCCAGGUGUAGCGGUGAAAUGCGUAGAUAUCUGGAGGAACACCGGUGGCGAAGGCGGCAUCCUGGACCGGUAUUGACGCUGAUGCGCGAAAGCCAGGGGAGCAAACGGG